AUGAAACCUAUUCACUUAAAACAAAAUCAAGAGUGCAUGAUGCAUCUCUCUACAUAUCUUGAACAGAAUAUUUUCAAACUAUUUGGCAAUAUUAGAUUGUAUUCAUAUUUGACUUUAGCAUAAAUCAAAUUACCUGAUGCUUAUGAUAAAUUAUUAUUGUUAAUUACUCAAACUUGAGUUAGACAAGACACUUAUGGUUCAAGUCUGUCUAACAAUGGGCUGAGUUGGAGAAACUUAGGCUUCUCAUGAUUGUUUCUGGAUAAAUUACUGAACUUAGUGGCAUCUUUACACAUUUGGCUUCUAUGGUUGCCCAACAAGGGGAACUAGCUAUCAGGAUUGAUGAUAACAUGGAUGAGUCAUUGACCAAUGUUGAAGGUGCUCGCAGCGCUCUUCUGAGGAAUCUUAACCAAAUAUCAUCAAAUAGGUGGCUUCUAAUCAAAAUAUUUGGGGUACUGAUAUUUUUCUUGAUUGUAUUCAUUAUGUUUGUGGCUUGAACUUCAAUAUUGAACUGAGCAUUAGAAGUUCCUGCUACAUAUCCUUUCAUUUGUAAUUGCUUGUAGGUAUAGGAAUAGGAUACCUCGUUAUUAAGGAGUGAUUUGGGCUCCCUUGUUCUGUAGAAUGGUCUUUCUUGUUUGUCUUUUUUCCUUUUUACUACAAUAAGCUAUUGCAUAGUAGAAGAGCAUAUCGAUAUAGAUUUUUUUUUUGAAAAAUAUAUGGAUAUAGAUUAUUGCUUGUACUUAAUAUACAACACAAUAUGCUGAUAGCUUGUCUCUGUGAAAUUUGAAAUUCUUUAUUCAUGGUUGA